AUUGAACGCUGGCGGCAGGCCUAACACAUGCAAGUCGAACGAGUGGCGGACGGGUGUGUAUUGUCUGGGAAACUGCCCGACGGAGGGGGAUAACUCCUGGAAACGGUAGCUAAUACCGCAUACCAUCGGAUGUGCCCAGAUGGGAUUAGCUAGUAGGUGGGGUAACGGCUCACCUAGGCGACGAUCCCUAGCUGGUCUGAGAGGAUGACCAGCCAAACUGGAACUGAGACACGGUCCAGACGCCUACGGGAGGCAGCAGGGGGGAAUAUGGCACAAUGGGCGCAAGCCUGAUGCAGCCAUGCCGCGUGUAUGAAGAAGGCCUUCGGGUUGUAAAGUACUUUCAGCGAGGAGGCGUUACUCUCAGAAGAAGAACCGGCUAACUCCGUGCCAGCAGCCGCGGUAAUAC
rnacentral:rRNA from 1 species